UACGGGGGGGGUAAGCGUUGUUCGGAAUUACUGGGCGUAAAGGGCUCGUAGGCGGCCAACUAAGUCAGACGUGAAAUCCCUCAGCUUAACUGGGGAACUGCGUCUGAUACUGGAUGGCUUGGAUUCGGGAGAGGAAUGCGGAAUUCCAGGUGUAGCGGUGAAAUGCGUAGAUAUCUGGAGGAACACCGGUGGCGAAGGCGGCAUUCUGGACCGAGAUUGACGCUGAGGAGCGAAAGCCAGGGGAGCAAACGGG
rnacentral:rRNA from 1 species